rnacentral:lncRNA from 10 species
CUGAGGUGUGCAGAUCACUGGAGGUGAGGAGUUAGAGACCAGCCUGGCCAACAUAGCGAAACCUCGUCUCUACUAAAAAUACAAAAAUUAGCUGAGCAUGGUGGUGGGCACCUGUAAUCCCAGGUACUCGUGAGGCUGAGGCAGGAGAAUCGCUUGAACUUAGAAGGCAGAGGUUGCAGUGAGCCGAGAUCCCACCACUGUUCUCCAGCCUGGGCGACAGAGCAAGACUCUUUCUCAAAAAAAAAAAGAAAGAAAAAAAAAAACAAAAACCAAACCAAACCAAACCAAAACAACAACAACAACAACAAACAAAAAAAUAAAGAAAAAGAGAAAAUAUUGAUUGAUCAAGAUGGUGGGAAACAGAUCCUGUUCUUCAGUUGUUGACGUUCUUCAGAUGGAGACAGUUUAUGUGAGAGCCUGAAGGCCACAGAGGAGGCUCUCACCUGCCCAGUUUGGGCGGUGAAGACAAACCAAGAGAAAGUGGAAAGAGGGGACCCUAGUUGAGGCUGGAAGGAGAAUGAGAGCGGCGAUAAAGGAAGAGAGAAGGUUCCAGGGAGGAAGAACAACCUGUGAGCACAGAGCAGGGAUGAGGGAAGACUUGGCAUUUGAGAUCCUGGAAUGUCUGCAUGGUGGGAUCAUGCAGGACAAAGGAGGAACCAUGAGAAACCAAACAGGAGACAUUCACGUUGCUCUAAUCCUCUUGGAUCUUGGCCUUGCUAAGGAGUUGGGACAUUCACCAAAGAGCUUUGGAUUGCCACAUCAAGAUUUUGGGCAGGGGAAUGAAAUGGUAGAUCUAACUUCAACCCCCUUGGCUGUACACAGUUCCCAGGACUGCUAGACGUCACUGCUUGGGGACUGAAGGCAGAUGCUGCAUCUAGUGAGAGAAGAACAAUUAGGGCAUCUGUUUGUUCUGGCCUUUCUGCGUCUCAGUUUGCACACCUGUUAAAACCAAUAUAUAAUACCACUUGAUAAUAUAACGGUGGUUGUGCAGGUUGGAAAUAAUGUAUGCAAAGUGCCUGGCACAGAUCACUCUUGAAAAAGGCAGGUGGCUUUGUCUCAGGUCCGGUAAGAGUUUGUGGCUUUGGAGUUUCUGAUGGUGGGAAUUCAAGCCCAUCCAGAACACCAUAAAUUUUUAUUUUGCCUAUGGGAAUUGGAAACUGGAGUGAGAGAGGGUAGAUGGUGUUUGCUACUUGCCAAUCAGGUUGCAGGUGCUGGGGGUUCCUUGUAUAUUCCAGCAUUUUUUUCAGCCUUAUAUCAUGCCUGCCUAUCUAUCUAUCUAUCUAUCUAUCUAUCUAUCUAUCUAUCUAUCUAUCUCUGUCUGUCUAUCUAUCAUGUAUCUAUCAAUCAUCAAUCUAUCAAUCAUCUAUGUAUGUAUCAUCUAUCAAUGUAUCUCAUCUCUCUCAUCAUGCCUUUUAGAAAAUUGUUAUCAAAGCAUAU